UUCUCCAGUGAACCACAUUCUGUCAGAUCUCUCCACCAUGACCCGCCCAUCUUGGGUUGCCCCACAGGCAUGGCUUAGUUUCAUUGAGUUAGACAAGGCUGUGGUCCUAGUGUGAUUAGAUUGACUGAUAGCCUUGUCUAUCUCACUAAUGAUCAUUCAAAUGCUAAUUAAGACAAUGCUGUGCUGUGCUUAGUCAGUCAUGUCUAACUCUUUGGGACUGUAACCCUCCAGGCUCCUCUGUCCACGGGGGUUCUCCAGGCAAGAAUACUGGAGUGGGUUACCAUGCCUUUCACUAGGGUAUCUUCCCAACCCAGGGAUCAAACCCUGGUUUCUCACAUUGCAGGAGGAUUCUUUACCAUCUGAGCCACUGAGGAAGCCAGACUAAGAAAACAGCUUCCUGCAAGCCUGACUCACAGCAAGAUGGCUUCCUGGGCUGUUUACUGCAGUCAGCAGUUGCAGAAACCAUGAAUGGACCCAAUGCAGACUUUUCUCCUUCAUCUGAACCCUACAAGGCACUAGCAAGGCCCUUGUGCCUGUCCACCUUCUUGGAGAUAAUUGGAAACACUGGCUAUAUUACCAUGACUUUGGAUGGGAUGUUAUAUUUGAGACUACACAAAAAUCAGACAUGGCCAGACAACUUCAAAGAUCUGAGGUGGACUUAAUGGAACCAUAAAGCCCCUUUGAAAAACAAUCUAGUACUUUGCUUAUAGGAUUCCUAGAAGCCUUAUCAGGUGAAUAAGGGCGGCUACUUCCUGGCAGGUGCAUGGAUCUCGCAUGGAUCUCAAGAUUUUUUGCGGACCUGAAGAGGAGAGGAACCUGCCCAAAUCUGUAGAUUUUGCAGGCAGAAUCUGAUGCCUAGUCUUUGAUAUGGCUUUUCUAGCCUGAGGGACCUUUUAAAUGUUCAAUCUGAGAUUCCUUAUGAAGAAAUUCAGCAAAAGCAAUUUCAAAGAGCCUAUAUGAUCUCAAUUUGCCCAUAAUUAGGAGAUAUGAGGGUGAUUUUAGAGAGAAAAAAUUUAUUUCAGUGAAUAUUAAUUUCUAGUGUUCUUAACUGUUUUUGUGGUUUGUAUUUACUGCCUAAGACUCAACUUCCUAGAUGGCUCCUUGUUAAUAUGUUGUAUUAUUGUAAGAUUUAAUUGAAUUAUUAAAAGGACAUUCUAAAUUUA